AGUCCCCACCUGAGGACGGCACAGAGAAAGACUGGAACAGGAAACACACGGAGGAAAGCAGGUUGAACAGCUAGCAGUGUUCUAGCAGUCGGAUCACAUUGGAACAGAAUCCAUCCACACAUGUUUGGAGGAGCUGAAGAAGAGGACGGAGCACACAGUCCACUAAGGAGGAGAAACAUGGCUCCUCUAUUUGUCUCUCCAACAUUCUGGAGUCUAAAAAACGUUGACGACCUCGCAGCUAAACCAUCAGUCUGCUCCACCCAGGAGAAGAAGGUAACAAACCUUUAUUGCUUCCAGAUGUUCAUCAGUAUUAGUGAAG